GGAGGGGUACCAAAGUGGCCAACUGGGGCAGACUGUAAAUCUGUUGGCGGAUGCCUUCGAAGGUUCGAAUCCUUCCCCCUCCACCA
rnacentral:tRNA from 1 species